GUAGGUGAACCUGCGGAAGGAUCAUUACAGUGUUCCCUGCCCUCACGGGUAGAAACGCCCACCCUUUGUGUAAUAUAUCUUGUUGCUUUGGCAGGCCGCCUCUUUGGCGUCGGCUUCGGCUGACUGCGCCUGCCAGAGGACCCAAACUCGUUUGUUUAGUGAUGUCUGAGUACUAUAUAAUAGUUAAAACUUUCAACAACGGAUC
rnacentral:misc_RNA from 1 species